rnacentral:rRNA from 1 species
UACACACCGCCCGUCACGCCAUGGAAGUCGGUAGCGCCCGAAGUCCGUGACCCAACCGCAAGGAGGGAGCGGCCGAAGGCAAAGAUCGAUGACUGGGGCG